UACAGGGGGUGCAAACGUUGCUCGGAAUCAUUGGGCGUAAAGCGCACGUAGGCGGUUCGUUAUGUCGGAUGUGAAAGCCCUUGGCUUAACCGAGGAAGUGCAUCCGAAACUGGCGAGCUAGAGUACUAAAGAGGAUCGCGGAAUUCCCGGUGUAGAGGUGAAAUUCGUAGAUAUCGGGAGGAACACCGGUGGCGAAGGCGGCUCACUGGCCCGGUACUGACGCUGAGGCGCGAAAGCGUGGGGAGCAAACAGG
rnacentral:rRNA from 1 species